CCUGGCUUAGGACGAACGCUGGCGGCAUGCCUAAUACAUGCAAGUCGAGCGAAUGAUGAAGAAGCUUGCUUCUCUGAUUAGCGGCGGACGGGUGAGUAACACGUGGGCAACCUACCCUAUAGAUUGGGAUAACACAGGGAAACCUGUGCUAAUACCGAAUAAUACCUUUCUCUUCAUGGAGGAUGGUUGAAAGAUGGUUUCGGCUAUCACUAUAGGAUGGGCCCGCGGCGCAUUAGCUAGUUGGUGAGGUAAUGGCUCACCAAGGCAACGAUGCGUAGCCGACCUGAGAGGGUGAUCGGCCACACUGGGACUGAGACACGGCCCAGACUCCUACGGGAGGCAGCAGUAGGGAAUCUUCCACAAUGGGCGAAAGCCUGAUGGAGCAAUGCCCGCGUGAGUGAUGAAGGAUUUCGGUUCGUAAAACUCUGUUGUAAGGGAAGAACAAGUAGCGUAGUAACUGGCGUUACCUUGACGGUACCUUAUUAGAAAGCCACGGCUAACUACGUGCCAGCCGCCGC
rnacentral:rRNA from 1 species